rnacentral:rRNA from 1 species
UAGGGAAUCUUCCGCAAUGGGCGAAAGCCUGACGGAGCAACGCCGCGUGAGUGAUGAAGGUCUUCGGAUCGUAAAACUCUGUUAUUAGGGAAGAACAAAUGUGUAAGUAACUAUGCACGUCUUGACGGUACCUAAGCAGAAAGCCACGGCUAACUACGUGCCAGCAGCCGCGGUAAUACGUAGGUGGCAAGCGUUAUCCGGAAUUAUUGGGCGUAAAGCGCGCGUAGGCGGUUUUUUAAGUCUGAUGUGAAAGCCCACGGCUCAACCGUGGAGGGUCAUUGGAAACUGGAAGCCUUGAGUGCAGAAGAGGAAAGGGGAAUUCCAUGUGUGGCGGUGAAAUGCGCCGAGAUCUGGAGGAACACCAGUGCCGAAGGCGACUUUCUGGUCUGUAACUGCCGCUGAUGUGCGAAAGCGUGGGGAUCAAACAGG